CCCAAUCCAGCCCACAGUCUGGUUUUGUAAAAGUCCCUACAGGUGCCCAGCCACCAACGGUCACUUCGGGGUGGCCUGUGGCUGCAGCAGGGACUCCGGCCCGCAGAGCUGAUAAGUAACAAACUUGCUAGUUCUACACAUCAGUCGUGAAGACUGUGCAAGGCCCAGGAGAAAGCAUGGUGCGCGUCACAGAAACAGGAUGAGGCUGGUCUGCGUGUCACCCGGCGGGGACCGAGGGCAGUGAAGCCGGGCCGAGGGCUCCAGCUACCUUUGCCGUCUGCCCAAGGGCCAGCACGAAGAAGGAAGGCUAAUGUGUUUUAAAACCACUCGACCCAAAUGCAAUUAUAUAACCCAGGAAGGGACAAAUCACGUCGCUGAUGAGUUUUUAAAAAAAUAGAAGAAAGAAAAAC